rnacentral:rRNA from 1 species
GUGACCCCAGGUCAGGAGGGAUUACCCGCUGAGUCUAAGUAUAUAAAUAAGUGGAGGAAAAGAAACUUACAAGGAUUCCCUUAGUAACGGCGAGAGAACAAGGAAUAGCCCAGCCUUAGAAUCGGGCGGCUCCGUCAUCUGAAUUGUAUUUUGGAGAGCUGUCGUCAGCAGCGGAUAGGGCCCAAGUCCCCUGGAAGGGGGCGCCAGAGAGGGUGAGAGCCCCAUUGUGCCCGAACCCUGUCGCACCACGAGGUGCUAUCUACGAGUCGGGUUAUUUGGGAAUGCAGCCCAAAUUGGGCGGUGAAUUCCGUCCAAGGCUAAAUACGGGCGAGAGACCGAUAGCGAACAAGUACCGUGAGGGAAAGAUGAAAAGGCCUUUGAAAAGAGAGUGAAAGAGUGCUUGAAAUUAUCAGGAGGGAAGCAGAUGGGGGCAGGCGAUACGCCCCAAGAAGGAUGUAGAACGGCGAUGAGCCGGUCUGCCGAUCGACUCGGGGAAUGGACCAGCUUCGAUUGGGGGUGAGGCCAAAGCCUGGGCUCUCGAUAUGCUCGUGGAACCCCGUCUCCUCGAUUGUGGCAGGCAGCGAGCGCCUCCGGCGUGCUUUGGCAUCUGCGCGCUCCGGACGCUAGCCUGUGCGAUCCCCAUUCGACCCAUCUUGAAACACGGACCAAGGAGUCUGACAUGUGUACGAGUCAACGAGCGAGUAUACCCAUAAGGCGCAAUGAAGAUGAUUGGUGGGAUCCCCCCGAGGGGUGCACCGCCGACCGACCUUGAUCUUCAGAGAAGGGUUCGAGUGUGAGCAUACCUGUCAGGACCCGAAAGAUGGUGGACUAUGCCUGAGCGGGGCGAAGCCAGAGGAAACUCAGGUAGAGGCUCGCAGCGAUACAUACGUGCAAAUCGUUCGUCUUACUUGGGUAUAUGGGCGAAAGACUAAUUGAACCGUCUAGUAGCUGGUUCCCUCCGAAGUUUCCCUCAGGAUAGCUGGAGCUCCCAUGCGAGUUCUAUCGGGUAAAGCUAAUGAUUUGAGGCCUCGAGGGCACAACUCCCUCGACCUAUUCUCAAACUUUAAAUAAGUAGGACGGCGCGACUGCUUGGUUUAGCCGCACCACGAAAUCAAGAGCUCCAAGUAGGCCAUUUUUGGUAAGCAGAACUGGCAAUGCGGGAUGAACUGAAAACUGGGUUACGGUGCCAAACUGCGCGCUAACCUAGAUCCCACAAAGGGUGUUGGUCGAUUAAGACAGCAGGACGGUGGUCAUGGAAGUCGAAAUCCGCUAACGAGUGUGUAACAACUCACCUGCAGAAUAAACUAGCCUCAAAAAUGGAUAACGCUUAAGCGCGCGACCUACACCUGGCCGUCGGGAAAAAUGCCAGGCCCCAAUAAGUAGGACGGAGCGGCGGUCGCUGCAAAACCUUGGGCGCGAUCCCAUGCGGAGGGGCCGUCGGUGCAGAUCUUGGUGGUAGUAGCAAAUAUUCAAAUGAGAACUUUGAAGGCCAAAGAGGGGAAAGGUUCCAUUUUAACAGCACUUGCACAUGGGCUAGUCGAUCCUAAGGGUCGGGGAAACCUGGACAGACAGUGUAUUUCGCGCGCGCUCCGAAAGGGAAUCGGGUCAAAAUUCCUGAACCGGGAUGUGGCGGUCGACGACAAUGUUAGGAAGUCCGGAGACGUCGGUGGGAGCCUCAGGAAGAUUUCUCUUUUCUGUUUAAUAGCCUUCCCACCCUGGAAUCAGCUCAGCCGGAGGUAGGGUCCAGCGACUGGAAGAGCACCGCACGUCGCGUGGUGUCCAGUGCGCUCUCGACGGCCCUUAAAAAUCCGAAGGACCGAAUGCCGUCCACACUCGGUCGUAUUCAUAACCGCAUCAGGUCUCCAAGGUGAACAGCCUUUGGUCGAUGGAACAAUGUAGGCAAGGGAAGUUAGCAAAAUAGAUCCGUAACUUUGGGAAAAGGAUUGGCUCUGAGGCCUGGGAAUGGGGGUCCUAGUCCCGCGCCCGUCGGCUGUCGAUGGACUGCUCAAGAUGCUCCCCGCGCAUUGAAAAGCCAACUCAGAACUGGUACGGACAAGGGGAAUCCGACAGUUUAAUUAAAACAAAGCAUUGCGAUGGUCCCAACGGAUGUUCACAUAAUGUGAUUUCUGCCCAGUGCUCUGAAUGUCAAACUAAAGAAAUUCAACCAAGAGCGGGUAAACGGCGGGAGUUACUAUGACUCUCUUAAGGUAGCCAAAUGCCUCGUCAUCUAAUUAUUGAUGCGUAUGAAUGGAUUAACGAGCUAGUCCGACUUUGUGAAAUGACUUGAGAGGUGUAUUAUGAGUGGGAGCCGAAUGGAGAAAGUGAAAUACCACUACUUUUAAUGUUAUUUUACUUAUUCCGUGAAUCGGAAGCGGGGUACUGCCCCUCUUUUUGAACAUAAGGCUCGCUCUGCGGGCCGAUCCAAGCGGAAGACAUUGUCAGGUGGGGAGUAUGGCUGGGGCAGCACAUCUGUUAAAAGAUAACGCAGGUGUCCUAAGAUGAGUUCAAGGAGGACAGAAAUCUCGUAUGGAACAGAAGGGUAAAAGUUCAUUUGAUUCUGACUUCCAGUACAAAUACGAACCGUGAAAGCGUGGCUCAACGAUCCUUUAGACCUUAAGAAUUCGAAGGUAGAGGUGUCAAAAAAGUUACCACAGGGAUAACUGGCUUGUGGCAGCCAAUCGUUCAUAGCGACGUUGCUUUUUGAUCCUUCGAUGUCGGCUCUUUCUAUCAUUGUGAAGCAAAAUUCACCAAGUGUUGGAUUGUUCACCCACCAAUAGUGAACGUGAGCUGGGUUUAGACCAUCGUGAGACAGGUUAGUUUUACCCUACUGAUGACAGUGUCAUAAUAGUAAUUUAACCUUGUACGAAAGGAACCGUUGAUUCACACAAUUGGUCAUCGCGCUUGGUUGAAAAGCUAGUGGAGCGAAGCUACCGUGUGCUGGAUUAUAGCUGAAGGCCUCUAAGUUAGAAUCCGGGCUACAAGCAACGCAUGUGCCCGCCGUCCGCUUGCCGACCCGCAGUAGGGGCCUCGGCCCCCAUAGGCACGUGUCGUUGGCUAAGCCUCCGCGGCAGAAGGGUCGCGGUGGCCACCUUAAAGUACAAGUGAAGUACAAUUUCCAUCGAGAGGCGGGCAGAAUCUUUUGCCGACGACUUAAAUACGCGACGGGGUAUUGUAAGUGGCAGAGUG